rnacentral:rRNA from 1 species
GAUGAACGCUGGCGGCGUGCCUAAUACAUGCAAGUCGAGCGAACGGACGAGAAGCUUGCUUCUCUGAUGUUAGCGGCGGACGGGUGAGUAACACGUGGAUAACCUACCUAUAAGACUGGGAUAACUUCGGGAAACCGUAGCUAAUACCGGAUAAUAUUUUGAACCGCAUGGUUCAAAAGUGAAAGACGGUCUUGCUGUCACUUAUAGAUGGUUCCGCGCUGCAUUAGCUAGUUGGUAAGGUAACGGCUUACCAAGGCAACGAUGCAUAGCCGACCUGAGAGGGUGAUCGGCCACACUGGAACUGAGACACGGUCCAGAGUCCUACGGGAGGCGGCAGUAGGGAAUCUUCCGCAAUGGGCGAAAGCCUGACGGAGCAACGCCGCGUGAGUGAUGAAGGUCUUCGGAUCGUAAAACUCUGUUAUUAGGGAAGAACAUAUGUGUAAGUAACUGUGCACAGCUUGACGGUACCUAAUCAGAAAGCCACGGCUAACUACGUG